AUGAACGCUAGCGGCAGGCUUAAUACAUGCAAGUCGAGGGCAGCAGGGAUAGCAAUAUUCGCUGGCGACCGGCGCACGGGUGCGUAACGCGUAUGCAAUCUACCUUUCACAGAGGGAUAGCCCAGAGAAAUUUGGAUUAAUACCUCAUAGUAUAACAUGACCGCAUGGUCGAGUUAUUAAAGUCACAACGGUGAAAGAUGAGCAUGCGUCCCAUUAGCUAGUUGGUAAGGUAACGGCUUACCAAGGCUACGAUGGUAGGGGGUCCUGAGAGGGAGAUCCCCCACACUGGUACUGAGACACGGACCAGACUCCUACGGGAGGCAGCAGUGAGGAAUAUUGGUCAAUGGGCGCAAGCCUGAACCAGCCAUGCCGCGUGCAGGAUGACGGUCCUAUGGAUUGUAAACUGCUUUUGUACAGGAAGAAACACUCCCUCGUGAGGGAGCUUGACGGUACUGUAAGAAUAAGGAUCGGCUAACUCCGUG
rnacentral:rRNA from 1 species